rnacentral:rRNA from 1 species
CGCGUAUGCAACCUACCCAUUACUGGGGGAUAGCCCGAAGAAAUUCGGAUUAAUACCCCAUGUUAUAGUUUGAUGGCAUCUGAAGACUAUAAAAGAUUUAUCGGUAAUGGAUGGGCAUGCGUCUGAUUAGUUAGUUGGUGAGGUAACGGCUCACCAAGACGAUGAUCAGUAGGGGGUCUGAGAGGAUGAUCCCCCACACUGGUACUGAGACACGGUCCAGACUCCUACGGGAGCAGCAGUGGGGAAUAUUGCACAAUGGGGGAAACCCUGAUGCAGCCAUGCCGCGUGUGUGAAGAAGGC